rnacentral:rRNA from 1 species
GAAACUAACAAGGAUUCCCCUAGUAACUGCGAGUGAAGCGGGAAAAGCUCAAAUUUAAAUUCUGGCGGUCUACGGCCGUCCGAGUUGUAAUUUAGAGAAGCGUCAUCCGUGCUGGACCGUGUACAAGUCUCCUGGAACGGAGCGUCAUAGAGGGUGAGAAUCCCGUAUAUGACACGGACUACCAGUGCAUUGUGAUGCGCUCUCAAAGAGUCGAGUUGUUUGGGAAUGCAGCUCAAAAUGGGUGGUAAAUUCCAUCUAAAGCUAAAUAUAGGCGAGAGACCGAUAGCGAACAAGUACCCUGAGGGAAAGAUGAAAAGAACUUUGGAAAGAGAGUUAAACAGUACGUGAAAUUGUUGAAAGGGAAACGCUUGAAGUCAGUCGCAUUGUUUGGGGAUCAACCUUGCUCUUUUGCAUGGGGUACUUCCCGUUCGAUGGGUCAGCAUCAGUUUUGACCGCUGGAAAAAGUUCAUGGGAAUGUGGCAUCUUCGGAUGUGUUAUAGCCUGUGUUCGUAUACGGCGGUUGGGACUGAGGAAUUCAGCACGCCGCAAGGCCGGGUGUUCGCACCACGUACGUGCUUAGGAUGCUGGCAUAAUGGCUUUAAUCGAC